CGCGUCCAAGGCGAUGGAUUUCCGCCGGGCCUUUGGGCCGAACCGCCCGGCCCUAGGGCAACUUGGGGUCACAGGCUGAUGAUUCCUACCUUUCG
rnacentral:ncRNA from 2 species